UACGUAGGGAGCGAGCGUUGUUCGGAUUUACUGGGCGUAAAGGGCGCGUAGGCGGCAGGGCGUGUCAAGUGUGAAAUCUCCGGGCUCAACCCGGAAAGUGCGCUUGAAACUACCUUGCUUAGAGUACGGAAGAGGGAAUCGGAAUACAGGGUGUAGCGGUGUAAUGCGUUGAUAUCCUGUAGAACACCGGAGGCGAAGGCGGAUUCCUGGUACGUUACUGACGCUGAGGCGCGAAAGUCGGGGGAGCAAA
rnacentral:rRNA from 1 species